UGAGAGUUCAGAUGACAUCAGAUUUUGUCACAGAAAACCAACAGAAGGAAUAUUAGCAAUAUGAGUCAGUGACUUGGGAGUGGAGGAAGAACCAAUAUAAGGUUCAGGCCCAUGCCUUCUCUGUGGGGAUCAGACUGGGGAGCUCUCUGCUGAACAUGCUGGGUGAAGUUAAGUUCAUACUGACUCAUCUAAACCUAAGCAUUUCUCAGGAAUCUCAGCAAAUCUCAGAUAAGAUGAGGAACCUAUGCUUAACCAUUGGAACAUUUUUGCAGAAGCUCAUUCUCUACUCUGACUGUGGUGAUAUAUGGAUGACCAGCAAAAAGCAGAUGAUUCCUAGAUUCUUAUUACUAAAAGGAAGUGCAAGGAAUCUCAUUCUACCACAAAGUUCUCAUCGCCAUAGUAUAUCAACAUCAAGAACACUCCGUACAACAUUCUUCUGUUCUGUAUCCCAGCACUGGCAGCGGCAUCAUUUUCUAGCUCUUCUCCAGCAGGGCUACCUGCUGUCCUCCCUAUGGGCCAGCAGCUCCCAGCUCCACCCCUGCCAUGGGGCCAGGCUUGUCUCUGCUGGCUGCCAAGUGAGAAACUCACUGUAUCAGAGGAGCAACUUGCUGUAUAUGACAGUGGGAUAA
ensembl:lncRNA